GCGGCAGUUGGUCGAGUGGGCGGCAGGUCUGCCGGUCUCUCCGGGGGCGCCGGCUCUGCUCCCACCCGCCAGCGGCGGCGGUUGCAGCGGCGGCCGCGCGGUCUCUCCGGGAGGCGCGGCGUGGGCCGAGCGGCGGCCGCGGAGCUUCGUGCCCAGCAUGGCGGCGGCGUGCGCGGGCCCCGAGGCGGUCCGCGUGCAGGUGCUCGACGUGGGCCGCGCUCCAGCAACCUGCGACCUCGGCGAGGGCUCCCACGGCGUCGUGAGAAUUCCUGGUGUGUCUGAGAUUUCCAGGGCUGCGAAGGAACCAAAGAAAUGAUAAACCCUGUGGCUCCAGUAGCGAGACACCGUCUUUGAUUAGAUCAGGAAGCGCCUGUCAGGCUCAGGGACUUGCCUGAUGUUAGGGAUCAGUGGCCAAAGCUGGAACAAUUUGAGCAACAAAAUGAAGUCAUAUUAGACUCGAGCACAAAACAUAAAAUAAAGUAAGUAUCCAUGAGUCCGUACAGAUAGAAAUAAAUGACUGAGUAAAUAAAUAAAGUAGGGAAAGAGAUACAUCUCCUGUUCAGAAGAAUUCCAGACAAUUUAUGUAACUACUCCACCCUCAAGGGGAAUGUCAGCUCUUUACUCCGUAAGUGUGGGCUGCUUGUAAUGAUGUCUGUGGAGAGGACAGUAUGGAAAGUGGGGGGAAGUCCAUGUACAGUGGAGAAACUUGACACACACAACCUCAGGAAGGAGGUCAAGUUUAGCAUCAACAGUCUGAAGUCCUGUUGAUCACGUGUACCCUUGAUGUGAUGUGAGGAAAACAGCACGUACCUCUGUGGUCUUCCUCCCCCCAAACUCAUCAUUCCUGGUGUAAUCAUGAGCAGAACACCAGGAAAAUCCCUCCUACAAAAUCUUUUACUAGUGCUCCUCCAAACUGUCAAGGUCAUAAAAACCCAGGAAAGUCGCCUGUCAUGCGGCGAGCAGAACGAGUUUGAACUCGGUAACACUCUGGCACCGUGGCCAGUCGCCCGUGGCCUGCCAGCCCUUCAUGGGGAAGCUGAUGUCCGUGGCUCCCCUGACCAGGAGAUUAUGGAUGCUGAGGACUGGGGAGGGUGGCAGUGGACAAGAGACAACAGAGACAGACAGAGAGAGGGAGACAAAGACGGAGACAGGUUUUGUGACAAGAAGCCUGGGAGCAGGCCAGGGAGUACAGGACCAUCACACGGGGGUGCUCAUGGCUCAGAGUGGAUGCAGGGCGCCUGGGGCCACUCGGUCAUAUGGCUGCCUGAUGCCAGCCUCCCCUUGAGGCCAAGGGGCUGGACAACUUCCUGGUUCCUUCCAAGCUCUAAAUGACACCCCCACUUCAGCAGGAGUCCCCCGGCCCCCGUGAGAACCCAGGCCUGGACCCAGCCCCAGAAGGUGCCAGAAGUGCGUUCUGCCAUCAGCUCUGUGGCCACAUGGAGUGGUGUCCACUUCAGUGCCCCUGCCUGGGACGCUGGAGCCUGAGCCCUACCCCCUGGCUCUGCUCUGUAAAAGGGAUAGAUAGAGACCCCCAUCACAGGGCUGGGGACUGUAAGGGGACAACAGAUGGGCAGAGAUUCGAGGGGCACCCGGGAAGGAAGGUGCUGGGCAUGGGGAAGUGACUGAUGGGGACACAGCACGUCUGGGGAGAAGCCAGAGCAGAGACAGCUGGUGGCGUCUGCAGUCUUUCCUCCCACUCUCCCGCUGCGGGGGCCCAGAUGACCACCUGAAGACCCUCAGCCCUACUAUGCCCCAGCUGAGCUGUGCCUGAAAACCCCAGCCCCAGUGGGCUGUGUCUGCCCCUGAUCAAGGCAUCCCAGGGGCCAAGUGGCAGACUGGCCUGGGAGGACAGGACAGGGUGGAGGUCCCAAUUGUCUCUGAGCCAGUUCAUUCCAGGCCCACUCUGCUCCCUCCACCCAACAACCACGGCCUGGAUCUGGGUCUGCACGGCGUGGGGGUGCCUUAGGUGCGGGGUGCAGUGGGGGCCAUAGGAAACAACAGCCCCACCUGUCUGGCUGUCACCUGGCCUUCUUCCACCGCUGGGGCCUUCCCCCAACAAAACCCCACCCACCAACCGAUCCCACCUCCAUGCCUUUGCUCACACAGCACCUGGCCUGCACACUCUUACCCCUCCAGGCCUGGCCACGCCCUCCCUUCCCCACAGGCCACACCCUCCCUGCACCUGUGUGCUCAGCUCGGGCCCAGGACAUCUUCCCUGCAAGAGGCCCUGGGGACAGGGGUGGGCCCCCUCCCUGGGCCCUCUGGCGCUGAGCACCUCACCAAUGACAGAACAGGUGGGCAAAUCCAUCAUGCCCCACGUCUCCAAGCUCCGAGCACCAAUCUUGUGCCUGGAACGGUUCUAAUGCAGACACAGGAGAGGGAGUCAGGCCCUCUCCCAGAGCUGAUGUGUAGCUGGGGAGACAGACAGCGACCCAAGCAGAGAAGUAAAUAGGUGGUCUGGGGUCUGCAGGGCAGUUAUGACCCCUGGGGAGGCGUACUUCCAAAUAGGUGGUCAGGAAAUCCUCCCUGAGGAGGUGGCCUCUGAAUGAAGACCUGGAAGAGGUCAGGCUGCCUGGAUUCCUGGGGUAAGUGUUCCAGCAGCAGGUUGUAGGG